rnacentral:rRNA from 1 species
AUUGAACGCUGGCGGCAUGCCUUACACAUGCAAGUCGAACGGUAACAGGUCUUCGGAUGCUGACGAGUGGCGAACGGGUGAGUAAUACAUCGGAACGUGCCUAGUAGUGGGGGAUAACUACUCGAAAGAGUGGCUAAUACCGCAUGAGAUCUACGGAUGAAAGCAGGGGAUCGCAAGACCUUGUGCUACUAGAGCGGCCGAUGGCAGAUUAGGUAGUUGGUGGGGUAAAAGCUUACCAAGCCGACGAUCUGUAGCUGGUCUGAGAGGACGAUCAGCCACACUGGGACUGAGACACGGCCCAGACUCCUACGGGAGGCGGAAGUGGGGAAUUUUGGACAAUGGGCGAAAGCCUGAUCCAGCAAUGCCGCGUGCAGGAUGAAGGCCUUCGGGUUGUAAACUGCUUUUGUACGGAACGAAAAGCCCCGGGUUAAUACCCUGGGGUCAUGACGGUACCGUAAGAAUAAGCACCGGCUAACUACGUGCCAGCCGCCGCCGUAA